AACCGCAUGAAGACAGUACAAGCGGAGGCUUCAAUCUCUUCUCCGUCUCUCUGACGUUCGAGAAUUCUAUCGGAGCAGUCGGAGGAAAAACUUGAGGAAUCUCAGGAAACCGCUAUAGAUGUCUCUAUCGUUGUCGGAAGACACGUGAGUCCACUUAGAGACGACUAGGUGAAUUGAUUUAAGGAACCUUUUGCUGAAGGACGUCGAGACACAACGCUCUGAUAGGAUGUGACAUUGGGGUAUAGGGUUUUAUAUUAAUUGUAUGAAGUCUUAAACGGUCUUGCUUAAACCGAGAUAACUUUAUUAGAAAUUUGGACAAGUUUGAAUAUGAUGUAGAAGAAAGUGAAUGUGAGCCUUUUAUCCCUUUGAAAAACUUGUAUUUACA